CGUGGGGUGCGAGCGUUAAUCGGAAUUACUGGGCGUAAAGCGUGCGCAGGCGGUUUUGUAAGACAGAUGUGAAAUCCCCGGGCUCAACCUGGGACCUGCAUUUGUGACUGCAAGGCUAGAGUACGGUAGAGGGGGAUGGAAUUCCGCGUGUAGCAGUGAAAUGCGUAGAUAUGCGGAGGAACACCGAUGGCGAAGGCAAUCCCCUGGACCUGUACUGACGCUCAUGCACGAAAGCGUGGGGAGCAAACAGGAUUAGAUACCCUGGUAGUCCACGCCCUAAACGAUGUCAACUGGUUGUUGGGUCUUUACUGACUCAGUAACGAAGCUAACGCGUGAAGUUGACCGCCUGGGGAGUACGGCCGCAAGGUUG
rnacentral:rRNA from 1 species